rnacentral:rRNA from 1 species
UACGGGGGGAGCAAGCGUUGUUCGGAUUUACUGGGCGUAAAGGGCGCGUAGGCGGCCACCGCAAGUCGACUGUGAAAUCUCCGGGCUUAACCCGGAAAGGUCAGCCGAUACUGCGGGGCUAGAGUGCAGAAGGGGCAACUGGAAUUCUCGGUGUAGCGGUGAAAUGCGUAGAUAUCUGGAGGAACACCGGUGGCGAAGGCGGCAUCCUGGACCAACACUGACACUGAAAAGCGAAAGCCAGGGGAGCAAACGGG